rnacentral:rRNA from 1 species
UAGGGAAUCUUCCGCAAUGGACGCAAGUCUGACGGAGCAACGCCGCGUGAGUGAAGAAGGAUUUCGGUUCGUAAAACUCUGUUGUUAGAGAAGAACAGCGCAUAGAGUAACUGUUAUGCGUGUGACGGUAUCUAACCAGAAAGCCACGGCUAACUACGUGCCAGCAGCCGCGGUAAUACGUAGGUGGCAAGCGUUGUCCGGAUUUAUUGGGCGUAAAGCGAGCGCAGGCGGUCAAUUAAGUCUGAUGUGAAAGCCCCCGGCUCAACCGGGGAGGGUCAUUGGCAACUGGUUGACUUGAGUGCAGAAGAGGAGAUUGAAAUUCCAUGUGUAGCGGUGAAAUGCGUAGAUAUAUGGAGGAACACCAGUGGCGAAGGCGACUCUCUGGUCUGUAACUGACGCUGAGGCUCGAAAGCGUGGGUAGCAAACAGG